rnacentral:lncRNA from 1 species
AUGCUUGGCAAUAAUCCCAAUAGUUAAAAAGGAUAUUGUAACAAGGGAAAAUUUUAAGAUCUUCUGAAAAAUUUAGAUUGUCGUUAAGAUCAUAUUCCCAAUCACAUGUUGCAGUGAUUUUAUGGAUUUUGAAGGUGGAAUAAGCAGCAUCAGUGUGGUUUUCGUUUAGAUAAAAAUGUUUGAAGGACACUGAAUCUGUAAUUUCCAAAAUGGUUUGAAAAAAUAACACAGUUUUAUCUGUAUUAUGUGGUUUAAAGAAACUGUUUUUGCCAAAAUAUUUUUCGAUUGUUAAAAACGGAUCAUUGUUUACAAAAAAAUCCCUUUUUGAUAUUUAUAAUAUUUCAGUAUGUGUGUUUUUCAAAAUACUCCGAUGGAGCGGUUUGGAAAAUCUUCUUCAAAAUAAUUUGUGAAUUAUUUGAAGGUUUUGAAACAAUUUUUGAGGUCUGGUUUUCUCUUGAAAUCAUUUUUGAAGGGACCUCGU